GCUUUGUGUACCCAGUGAGAGCUGUCUUUUCCUGUCAGGAUGAGCCUGCCAGCAAACCAGAUCAAGGAGCCCGGCAAGCAGUUUCAGCCGGCAAAAUCGCUCAAGGAGCCCAGCCAGGAGUCUCUGCCCGGAAACCUACUCAAGGAGCCCAGCCAGGAGUCCCGGAUCCUGUGUCCUGACCCGGACAUCGUAAGUGCACCCCGCUGCGCAGCGACUGCUCUGGUUGUCCUGAACGCCCCACCUCCGAACCCUGCCGUGCGCUUUUUCAGCCACGUUCCAUUUUCUGCCCCUAUCCUCUAUUUUUCUCGCACCCCCCAUCCCCCAGGACUCCCCACCACCACCUCCGCGCUAUCCCCAGGGAGUAUUUUUCUGUGCCUGUUAGUAAACUUCUCUAAUACGUGUUCAUUCCCGCCUCGGGCUCCG
rnacentral:lncRNA from 1 species